UACGGAGGGAGCUAGCGUUGUUCGGAAAUACUGGGCGUAAAGCGCACGUAGGCGGCGCGGCAAGUCAGGGGUGAAAUCCCGGGGCUCAACCCCGGAACUGCCCUUGAAACUGCAGUGCUAGAAUCUUGGAGAGGCGAGUGGAAUUCCGAGUGUAGAGGUGAAAUUCGUAGAUAUUCGGAAGAACACCAGUGGCGAAGGCGACUCGCUGGACAAGUAUUGACGCUGAGGCACGAAAGCGUGGGGAGCAAACAGG
rnacentral:rRNA from 1 species